rnacentral:lncRNA from 1 species
UCUCCUGUGUAAAAUGACAACUUCCAGUAGAACAAUUAUAGGAAAGAUACAGGAUCUUUCUGUUCUUUCCACAGUAUCUCAGAUUUCAGACCGCCCAAGAUUCCUCUAGCUAAUGACUUCACAGUUGGUAACAGCGAGUUAACUUCACAAUGUUUCUUCAGCAUCUAUUAUGACAGUUCUUGGAACUAUACGUGCCAGAUUACAGUUCACACCUGGUGGUAGUGACAAUGGAAAUGCCUUUAGGAGGCUUGCAGAUCCCUUGGACCCAGAAAAUACAACUUUUUGAGACAUAUGGGAGAAAAAAGAGGUUUUUACAUCAGCUUUCCCUGGGGUUCCACGAACACUAAAUGAAUCUGAAGACACACCUUCAACAUUCUUUAAGAAGGAACCAUGGAAGCCAACCUUGUAUUGUUUAAAGAGAGAAUGAAACUUGAAGCAACAGACAGGAAGAACCCUUAUCUGAUCUGCUCCGCAACUAUUGGAAACAUUGAAGGAGACAGUUUACAUUACAUUUGGAGACUAGAGAGGAGCUUUUGAAUAUUGCUAUGAUUCUUCAGAUAGUCUCCUAAUUGGGUAGGUUGUAUCGCUUGACAAAUGUCUUACAACCAUCAGAAAAUAAUGCUCCCAUUACAAUAAGUAGAGCGAAAGCACAAUCUUCUCCUUCCCGUGUGGCUCAGCAUUCAAUGCAGGCGAGAAAACUCGCCCAGUAACUUGGGUCAAGAAAUCAGGUUGGGAUAAACCACCUGCAUAACUUUCCUCCCCACGAAGGAAAGGUUUCUUAAAAAUGAUUCCCUGACAAAGGUCAGCAUUCGUAAUUAAAAGAGGCCCAAAAUGAGAGAAAAAGGAAAAAUUGUCUUCCUGUUUUGUGUUCUCCUCCAUCUCUACUUAUGUAGUUGCUAGAAAGAGACCUUGGCCUUCCACUAGAUCAGGGAUGACGUUGCCGAGACCAUGACUGCAGCAAUGUCUGCAGUCUGUUUCUUUGCAGACAAACAGGGGACUCCAUACUCACCUGCUUCAGAAGAGAGCCCAGCAGCUGCCCACCUCCCGCUGGCCCCGUGGGUAUGCAGCUCGGUGGACCAUGCAGACCUAUGUGGAUUGUG